AGAGUUUGAUCCUGGCUCAGGACGAACGCUGGCGGCGUGCUUAACACAUGCAAGUCGAACGGUAAGGCGCUUUCGGGCGUACACGAGUGGCGAACGGGUGAGUAACACGUGAGGAACGUGCCCUUGACUUUGGUAUAGCACUUGGAAACAGGUGGUAAUCCCGAAUAUUCAGUUUCCCGGGCAUCCGGGUUGUUGGAAAGUUUUUUGCGGUCAGGGAUCGUCUCGCGGCCUAUCAGCUUGUUGGUGGGGUAGUGGCCCACCAAGGCCUUGACGGGUAGCCGGCCUGAGAGGGCGACCGGCCACAUUGGGACUGAGAUACGGCCCAGACUCCUACGGGAGGCAGCAGUGGGGAAUAUUGCACAAUGGGCGGAAGCCUGAUGCAGCAACGCCGCGUGCGGGAUGACGGCCUUCGGGUUGUAAACCGCUUUCACCCAUGACGAAGCGCGAGUGACGGUAGUGGGGGAAGAAGUACCGGCCAACUACGUGCCAGCAGCCGCGGUGAUACGUAGGGUGCGAGCGUUGUCCGGAAUUAUUGGGCGUAAAGAGCUUGUAGGCGGUUGAUCGCGUCGAUAGUGAAAUCCCGGGGCUUAACUUCGGGCUUGCUGUCGAUACGGGUUGACUUGAGGAAGGUAGGGGAGAAUGGAACUCCCGGUGGAGCGGUGGAAUGCGCAGAUAUCGGGAAGAACACCAGUGGCGAAGGCGGUUCUCUGGACCUUUCCUGACGCUGAGAAGCGAAAGCGUGGGGAGCAAACAGGCUUAGAUACCCUGGUAGUCCACGCUGUAAACGGUGGGUACUAGGUGUGGGUCGCAUUCCACGUGAUCCGUGCCGUAGCCAACGCAUUAAGUACCCCGCCUGGGGAGUACGGCCGCAAGGCUAAAACUCAAAGGAAUUGACGGGGCCCCGCACAAGCGGCGGAGCAUGCGGAUUAAUUCGAUGCAACGCGAAGAACCUUACCUGGGUUUGACAUGUACCGGGAGCGCUCAGAGAUGGGUGUGCCUUUUUGGCCGGUUCACAGGUGGUGCAUGGCUGUCGUCAGCUCGUGUCGUGAGAUGUUGGGUUAAGUCCCGCAACGAGCGCAA
rnacentral:rRNA from 1 species